rnacentral:rRNA from 1 species
UCACCCGCCAGAGAAUUACAGGUAAACAACUUAAAACUCAAAAGACUUGACAGUAUCUCACACCAACCUAGAGGAGCCUGUCCUACAACCGAUAAUCCACGAUUUACCUCACCCACCUUUGCAGUAACAGCCUAUAUACCUCCGUCGCCAGCCCGCCUGACAACAGCAUUGAAAGCGGGUGUAAUAGCUUCGCCACUUAUACGACAGGUCAAGGUGUAGCUAAUAGGUCGGGCAGAGAUGGGCUACAUUUUCUACCCUAGAACACACCUAUAAUGCCAUGAAAGAGGCACUGAAAGGUGGAUUUAGCAGUAAGAGGGGCAAGACCAAGCCCCCCUGAAGUUUGCUCUGAGAUGUGUACACACCGCCCGUCACCCUCCUCAACAACAACCUUAAACUUAACUAAAAUCUUAUUUACCCCCAAGAUGAGGUAAGUCGUAACAUGGUAAGCGUACUGGAAAGUGCGCUUGGAAAACCUCAGCGGUAGCUUAAACCCAAAGCAUUAGGCUUACAACCAAACCAUGCCACCACCUGGCCCCUGAGCGCCCCACGCUAGCCCAAUAAGACGCUACAAAACUAAACUUAAACAAACAACCAUUUGUCCC